CCGGUGUGGCAUAGUGGUUUGAGCGUUGCAUUAUGACUCUAGAGAGCAGGGUUCGAAUCCAUGCCCACCGGG